UGGGCUACACGCGCGCUACAAAGGACGGGACAAUGGGAAGCCAGGCCGAGAGGCCGAGCUAACCCGAAACCCGUUCGUAGUUCGGAUUGAGGGCUGUAACUCGCCCUCAUGAAGCUGGAUUCCGUAGUAAUCGUGUUUCAAUAUAGCACGGUGAAUAUGCCCCUGCUCCUUGCACACACCGCCCGUCAAACCAUCUUAGUUGGGGGUGGGUGAGGCUGCGCUUUAUGGCGUAUUCGAGCCUGCCUUCGACAAGGAGGGUUAAGUCGUAACAAGGUAUCUGUAGGGGAACCUGCAGAUGGAUCACCUCCU
rnacentral:rRNA from 1 species